AUGGCCGGAGAUCUAUCAAGUCGGCACUGCAGCCUGCAGGUGUACAAAUGUGCAGCUGAUCUGAUCGACGUGAUUUUGUGUAGUUUUCAGGAACUUGUAGUCAAGUUCUAUUUGAUCGACCAUGAUGGCUCCUCCUCCUCCCUCCUCUCUCCCCUUUCCCGCCUCCCCUUCCCCGUCCCCGCUCCGGUGUCCUGGUCCGGUCCUCCCCGCUUCCCUCCCUCUACCGUCGCAGGGUCUCACUCUCGUCGUCCCCCCCCCCUCGCCUCUCGGGUCUGCUCGGCGGAUGAGGAUUCCGAUCUGGAGGUUGGUGCUCCCUCCCUUCCCUUGGCUCCUCCUCCGGCCGUUUCGCUGGCACUGGUCUCGCUGCCGUCUGGUCGGGUCAUGGUCCCGGGUGGUCGUGGUCGUCCGGUGGCCUCUGUUGAAGGGGAUGGAUCGGGUUGGCUCCAGGUGAGGUAUGGCCGGCGACGGAAGCGCUCGGGGGCGCUCUCCUCACCGGGCCGUGCGGUUUUUGGUGGCGUAUCUUCUCGGGCGGGUAGCCCUGCGCGUUCCUCCUGCUGCCCGCCGUCCUCGCCGCCGGUAGCCUUGGUGGUGCCGGCGCCGCUGGCGGCGACGACGAUCGUUUUUUUUCCUUCCCCAACCCUAGCCCCUUCCCUUAUCUCCUCCCCCCCACCUCUCCCCCUCCCUUUCGCAACGGUGGUGGUCAUGGAUCGCCCCCGUGGUUCUUCGAGCGAGGCCGCGUCGGGCAUGAAGCGGUGGCGGGAGGAUGUGGGCGACAGGGCGGCUGAUCUGGAGCUUGAGGCUUCCUUGCGCUCUAUGCUUGAGGCCGAGCAGGCGGCUCGACAGCAAGUGGCUCGGGAGCGUGAGGCCUGGGCGGCGGGGCCUGUGUGGCUCCUGAGGGAUGAGCGCGCCAGGGCGGCGGCGGCGGCCGUGGCGGCCGUGGGAGGCUGCGGCGACUACUCACGGCUCUGGUCCCGUGGCCCGUUCGCCUCCUCCCUCGCCGGGCCCGGCCUCCCUGGCUCGUGGUGGCGGCCGUGCCUCCGGUCCACCGUCUGGGUUUGGUGGGCGUUCGAUGGGUCGGGGGGCGGCGAAUCUGGCCCCCUUGGUCGUCGGUCCCCGGCUUCUGGUCCUGGUUCGUCCUCUGACUGGCCACUUCCAAUCCGCUGUCUCAACCCCCCGUUCUGCCUGAUAUGUAGAGAGGAAGGCUACCUUACGGUGAACUGCCAAAAUCGUCGCAAGUCUACAUCUUUUAAGCUCUUUGGUCAAGGUCUCCUCGGAUGCUCCUUCUUCGCACUUGACAGUGAGAUCCCUCAGGUGGCAGUGGCCUCUGCGCUCUCCAACGCUGCUAUCAUCUCGAUCAAAGACCACAAAAUCUCCACCCAAACUCUCCUGGACGAGCUUAAACUUUGGGAUGAUGGGGGUUCGGACUGGCAGGUCCAACAGUUGUCUGACUUCGAUUUCGCUGUGGUUUUCCCUUCCAAGAGCAGUCUUAAGAUGAUAUCUUCAUGCACUAGCUUCACUCUUCCUCUUAACCAGCUGGUUGUCUCGGUGAAGGCGGAUGCCAAUGGUGCAAAACCUAUAUCACCCCUCUCGGAGAUUUGGGUCCUAGUAGAUGAUGUCCCCCCUAACUUACGCUCUACCGAGUUUCUCAUGGCCUUCGGUGUUCUUAUUCGCAAGCCUAUAUUGGUUGAUCAGGAUUCCCUCUCUGUCCUUGUCCCCGUUCACCUCAAGAUCUGGGCUGUGGACCCCUUGUGCAUACAUGGUCACGUCGAUGUCUUUCCUUCUGCGGAUGGCUUCAGGCUUCGGGUGCGAGUGGAGGGCGGCGCCAAUUCCCACUCCCCACCCCCUCCUCCUCCUCCUUCGGCCGAUAACCUGGGCGGUGAAGUUCGGAUUGCCGCGAGCUUUGCAAGGAGAAUGCCCCGAAGAGUAAGGAUGGAGGAAAGGAUCAAAUUGAUGCGCAUGUCUCUGCUCAAGAUCCCCCGACCGCUCCUCCUGCUGGCACUCCGAUGUCUGGGGUGUGCUCCAACAUGCCGGUUCGGCCGUGGUCUUCGUCUCUCUCUGGCAUUGAGGACCUCCCUGCUUCACCGUUUCGCGCUGCAACGGGGUCUCUUCCCAAGCGCAAGUCUUCGUUCGCAAGUUCUCCGCUCGCAGUCGGGCUUCUUCAGGGACCAAGUUGUCUGCUGCGGGUCUGUGCCGCCGCCUCGAAGUGGACGGAUCCGGGAUAGUGGUAUGCGGGUGGCUGACAAGGCGGCUAGGCGUGUGGCUGCUCAUGACGUCCCUGCUUCAGGUAUCCCUCCAGCCCCUUCCCCGUUGGUUCAUAACAUCUCUUCACCUACUAGGCUUGUAUUGCCUUCUUACUCGGAUGAGCAUCUGACUAAGGUUCUCGCGGAUUCUGGUAUCGCUCUUGAUCACAAUUUUGGAUCUCCCUCUUCUCUGAUUACUCUUCUUAGGGCCAAUGAGGUGGAUCAGGCGGCUUUAGCCAAGGCUAAAGAGGCCGCCGCAGCUCCUCCUGCCCCCCCCCCCCCAGUUGUGGCUGUUGGGGUUAUGGAGGAGGGGGCCCCUGCUAGCGAUGUUACCCCACAGAUUUCUGUGAAGAAGGGUGUCUCAAAACGUGCUAAAACCUGCUUGGCACCCUGCGGCUCCGUUGUGUAUCACCGUCAGCUAAACUUGCUUUGGGAAUUUAUGGUCGUUUAUGGUCCGGCGGAUCACUCCCUCUCCUCCAUCUUCUUGGGCGAAAUCACGAACAAAGUUGAAGCUUGCACCCUCCCUCUUGUGAUCGGAGGUGAUUUUAAUCUGCUACGCUCCCCUGCAGAUAAGAACACUAAUAACUUCUCUUGGGCACUGGCCGACGCUUUUAAUGAGUUCAUUAGUUCCUGCGCUCUCCGUGAUAUCCCUAGGGGAUUCGAUCUGCUCCCUCCCCCUCGAUUUCAGUUUGACGCCUUGUGGCUUCUUGUUGAUGGCUUCAGUGACCUCCUUGGCUCUAAAAUUAAUGGCUUUCUCUCGGUGCCUCAUCGUUCCUUUGGGCCGUUGGACGACCGGCAUAACUGUUCCGGCUUGUUGCGAAAAUUUCUUCGGGGUUGGUCCCGUAAUUUCUCAGCCCAAGAUCGUAGAGAUAAAGCCCUUCUCUUGGCCCAGAUCGAGGCUCUUGAGUCUCGGGCUGACCUCUCGGGUCUUUCUGAGUCUGAUAGGGACCUUCGCUUCUCCCUUGAACGCUCUCUGGUGCAGAUCCACCACCUUAACAAGGUUUAUUGGCGACAGAGGUGCUCGAUUAAUUGGAUGCUUAAAGGCGAUUCCCCCGCUGCCUAUUAUUUUGCCAUUGCCAACGGUCGUCGGCGUAGAUGCCUGAUAGAUAGCCUGAUCAUUGACGGGGCUAGAUCUCCUGACCAAUCCACCAUCUUAAACUAUAUUGUGACCUUCUUUUCUUCUCUCCUCUCGGCCAAACCUGACCAGGGUUUUAGGUUGGCUUCUAACUUUUGGGACCAGGGGGUCAUGAUCUCCCCGGAAGAAAGUACUGCCCUCAUGAUCCCUUACUUUGAAGAGGAGAUCCUCUCCUCGAUUAACAAAGCGAAUCCUAAUUCUGCCUCGGGCCUGGACGGCUUUUCCAUCCCCUUCUUUAAAAAAAUUUGGCCUCAUCUUAAGGAGCUCAUCUGUAACGUCAUUCAAGGAUACUGUUUGGGGACAGUAGACAUAUCCAGACUCAACUAUGCGGUUAUUUCCCUUAUCCCUAAGGUUAAGGGUGAUGAGCUCAUCUCUCAGUUUAGACCUAUUGCCCUUAUUAAUAACUUCGCAAAAUUCCCUGCCAAGUGUCUGGCUACUCGCCUCACCCCGGUGGCUCACCAGACCCUCUCCCCUACUCAGGCCGUGCAGGCCGGCCAUUUCGCUCCUGUCAGCUCUCACCUCAUCCCGGAUGGGAUUACUCACCUUCAGUAUGCGGACGACACUAUUAUUAUGGUGGAACUGAAUGACCACUUCAUUGCCCAUCUUAAAUUCCUGCUUCUUUGCUUCGAAGCUCUCUCGGGGCUUAAGAUUAGUUUCUCCAAAAGUGAAGUUAUUGUUACUGGCGUUCCGGCUACCGAGGCCUUACGGGUUGCCCGACGUUUGAAUUGUUCUCUUGGCUCGUUCCCUAUUAAAUAUUUGGGUCUGCCUGUCACUCCCGAUAAACUUCUUGCUAAAGAUUUUGCUCCUACGGUGGCCAAGGUGGGUAAUCGCGUUAUGCCCUGGAGGGGCAGAUACAACACUCAGGCGGGUAAAGUGGCCUUGAUAAAUGCUUGCCUCUCAUCUCUCCCGAUGUUCUUGAUGGGAUUUUACCUUCUGUCUAUGGGAACCCAUGAUGGUUUUGAUAAACAUAGAUGUGCUUUUUACUGGAACGCGGCUGAUAACAAAUGGAAAUAUCGCUUGGUCAAGUGGGACCUAUUUAUCAUGACCAUCGGACAGGACAAGCCCCUCUGGUUCAACAUCCUCAAAGCGAAGCCCCUUUUCCAAGGCCUCGUCAAAUUCGUCGUCCGUAAUGGCAGAUCCACCAGAUUCUGGCUCGAUCGCUGGCUAUUGUUUUCCCUGUUCUUUUCUCUUACUGCUGAGAUCUCUAUUUUUGAGCUCGCGUCCAAUAAUUGGGAUCUGCGUCUGCGUCGCUCUCUCGCUCCUGUAAAGUUGGAAGACUGGCAGCGUCUUGUUGCUCUCUUCCCUUCGCUCUCGGAGGAGGAAGACUCGGUCGUUUGGCCCCAUUUCCCUUCUGGUCGUUUCUCGGUUAAAUCCCUAUAUGGCAAACUCAUUGCUGGGUCCAUCACUUCCAAAUUCCAAUGGAUCUGGAGGGCGCGUAUUCCUCCUAAGGUCAAGGUUUUCCUUUGGCAAGCCUCUCGGGGGCGUCUGCCGACGGGUGGCCAAAUUCGCAAGCGCAAUGGCCCCGGAUCUGAUAGAUGUGCAUUAUGUGGGUUGAGAGAAGACUCCUCACAUAUUUUCUUCAACUGUGUGAUGGCUAAGUUGUUCUGGUGUUGUAUCAGAUCUUGGAUGCAUGUCUCCUGGGCUCCGACCUCCUUUUCUGACCUGCGCAUCUUGGCCAAUUCUUUGGUUGGGGCCCAGAGGAGAUUGUUUUGGGUGGGCUUCGCUGCCAUGUGCUGGUCUCUUUGGACGACAAGGAAUAAAUUUACUAUUGAACAUCAGUGGAGAUCAUUGACUAAGGAGGAGGAUAGGGACGCCCCCGAUGCCAUGUUGGCCAAGAUCCGAAACUCUGCCAUCUCCAUCUCCCGAGUUCAAGCAAGCACUUAG
rnacentral:rRNA from 1 species